UGAUUCAAUAAUGAUGUUUAUUCAGCGUCGUCAUGCCAUCGAAUAACUAAAUGAAAUAAUGAUGUUUUUUAUUCAGCGUCUUCAUACCAUCGAAUAACUAAAUUAAAUACUUUAAACGUUUAAACUUUGUCACGAAAUAAACACACAUUUAAUUGAUCGAACUCAAUAUUAUACUUUUUGAAAAACAGCUGUCUAGAUGUUUAACGCCUUAACGGAUAAAGACAGUUAAACAUAAUAAACAGACACACAAUAGAUACAAAUACACCAAAGUGGAGAGGAAGUGUUAGCAGACACAAUAGAGAGGAUUCAUUUAUAAGAGUACACAACAGUGGAAAGGGUUAGAGGUCAGAGGUCAGGUGGAGUCCUGCAACAGGUCAUGGUUGAGGAGCCCAGGGAUUGAGGCGUACAUCUCUUUCUCUCUGUCUCUCUCUCCCGUCCUCUCUCUUCUCUCCAGCUCUCUGUCUCUGUCCGUGUCCAGCACAGACAUACUGGAUGUAGGCUUCCUGCUGGCCACCUUAGUGCUGGGGUCCUUAAUGGGGUCCUUCACACCAGGGUCCUUACUGGGCUGGAGAGGCAGCUUCCCUUCCAACCAAUGGGUUACCAUGUCCCCUUUACCCUGAAGAGAUAGGUUAGGGGUCAGCGGUUAGACGUCAAUGUUGAGAGAGGUCAGUGGUUAAAGGUCAAGGUUGAGAGAGGUCAGUGUUUAAAGGUCAAGGUUGAGAGAGGUCAGUGGUUAAAGGUCAAGGUUGAGAGAGGUCAGUGGUUAAAGGUCAAGGUUGAGAGAGGUCAGUGGUUAAAGGUCAAGGUUGAGAGAGGUCAGCAGUUAAAGGUCAAGGUUGAGAGAGGUCAGCAGUUAAAGGUCAAGGUUGAGAGAGGUCAGUGGUUAAAGGUUGAGAGAGGUCAGUGGUUAAAGGUUAA
ensembl:lncRNA